rnacentral:lncRNA from 1 species
UUAGGUAAAAAAGCCCAAACAUUAAUACCUUAUAUGGACAUUAAGAUGGGUUAUUAUUAUUAUUAUUAUCACAAAAACACAAGCAACAAGAUAGAAAACAAAAUACAAACCACAAAAAAAAUUCUCACACUAAUAUAAUAUCCCCCACGCCAUGGAACUUUCUCACAUGGUCACAUUUACCCCCAUGCACUAGCUAGUGUGCAAGACUAACUAGAGAUAUAGCAGAUGAUGCACACCUCAAGGUCUUUUUAUUUAGUUUAUUUAUAAGUUGAUAUUAAUUAAGCGAGGUUGUUUCUGUGUGGAGGAUAUGUUAAUUACUGAACCCUAAUUCAGAUGAGAAGGGAAGCCCCUUGGAAUAGGACCAUAGUAUUCUUUUGAAAUAGUGGGUCCAAUUCUUCUUGGGUCUUCAACCAAUUCUGAGUCUCCAACUGGAAUAACAGGAAUGAGUGGGAGUGGAAUAUGGUUGUGACCAUAGUACAUGUUGGGUCGGUAAUAGUACACAUUGUGUCUAUGAAGUGCUCCAAUUGGGAUGGGCUUUUUUGGCCCAAAGUGAGGAUGUGCUAGGCUCAAGCUCAUGCUUGACAAUGUUACGACAAUUAAGAAAAUUUUGAUGAAGGAUUGACCAUAUGCCAUGGUUUGAUAUAUAGUGAAUAAAUAUUUAUAUAAUUGUAUCCAAGAGUUUUGAUUAAG